UGGAUGGACAUUUGGGCACUGCCGCUUCAGAUUGUGUGAUUUAGAGUUCUGUUUAUUUUAAUAAUGGAAAUCGGCAAGUUGAAAUCGUUGCCAUUUCUAUCAGAGCCUCAUGAAUUGACUUUUAAUUUGCUAAAAAGUUUUGAUGAAUUUCUACUUUUAAUUUUUGCUGUUUUAUCAAGCUUCUAAAGAGUACCAUGGAAGUGCUCCCCUCAUCUGGACUUGUAGAGCCCUGUUCUGAUUGGGUUCAAAUAUUGGACUCACAAGCUUAUCAGCACUGUGGCCUUGAACAGGUCAUUUAACAUAAACAGGAUCUCAUCCAUGUUGCCAUCAUAUAUGUAGUUGUUGUGUUUCCUUAGGUUCCCUGUCUGGCAGAGUCUCAGCCCUUUCUCAUUUUGGAUGACCUUGAAAGUUUUGAGGAGUACUGGUCAGGUUGGAUCGAGGCAUACCCCACAGCCCGGGAAACGGCAGGUAUCGUAGCUACAACUCUCAUUGAACACGUCAUCCCGAGGUUUGGACUACCCCAAACUCUCCAGACAACGGACCCACUUUCAUCUCUAGUGUGACUCAGCAGGUAGCCGAAAGCCUCAACGUCACCUGGAAACUCCAUAUUCCAUACCACCCUCAGUCAUUGGGUAAGGUGGAAAAGGCGAACGGGUUGCUUAAGGCUCAGUUCACUAAACUGACCUUAGAGACCCGUCUCUCAUGGCCCGCACUUUGCCCCUGGCCCUUACCAGGCUUAGGGCAACCCCCUGCAGACCUUCAGCGUUGAGCCCAUUUGAGCUGCUGUAUGGCCGACCCUUCCUUAUAAACCACAACCUCCCAGCCGUUCCCCCACCUCUCCUGUCCUACCUGCCUUACCUCACCCCCCUGCAGGCCCUCCUGAGAGCCCAUGCUGAUGCUGUCAUCCCUGCCCCGAACGACCAUGACCAUAAGGAAGCCCCCCUCAAGGGCUAUUCCCAGGGGACCAGGUCCUCCUCAGAAAUCUGCAACCAGGCUCCUUGCAGACGCGAUGGACAGGGCCUCAUACUGUCAUCCUUACCACCCCAACCGCAGCAAAACUGUUGGGACACCAGGCGUGGGUACACAUCAACAACCUCAAACAGGCGCCCACAGGUAAUGGCUGGGCCUCCCAAGCGGUGGGCCCUACCAAACUACCUCCAAGAUCUGGGAACUCAAGGACCGGAUCUGAGCGAGGCGCCAAGACACCUCCACAUGGGGCCUGGAGGUGGCUUCUCCCCUUGGCAGGACCUCUAUACUUGGGUAAUGUGGCUUCUCCCCUUGGCGGGACCUCUAUGCUUAACCCUCCUGCUAAUCUCGGUUGCUCCCUGCCUUAUUCGGUACAUACAGGAACGCCUGCGGGAAGUGACCUGGGUGUCAGUCAGCCAGCUCCUCCUACAGCCCUAUUCUCGCCUGCCCACUUCCGACUACCCCUAUGACAACGCCUGACCAUCAGCAGGAAGUAGCCAGAAUGGAGUCGACGCCCCCGAUACCAUUAUAUAAAACAAAAGGUCGGAAUGUUGGGCUGGCCGAGAAAAGGGGCCAAGACACCCAAGAUGGCCGACUCUCCCACCAAGAUUACCGACUCUCCUGCCAAGAUUUAAACCGACCCCCAAGAUGGCUGACUCUCCCGUCAGAACUCCUGGGGCAGCCACGUCAACCCCAGUAAACCGAAACCUAAGCAGGAAACCGAAAUCCGUCCUACCGACUUUUCUCACCCCCAGCAGUACCCAAUAAAACCCUGCCACAACUCUCCAAGACAGACUUUCCCCCACCCCCAGCGGUGCCCAAUAAAAACCCUUGCUGCCCUGCCCUGGGCGCGACUUCCCCGACUCAACGCUCUUUCCCGAGUCGGGGAACCUUGCCCAAAGGUGCUUGCAAUAAAGCUCAU